rnacentral:lncRNA from 1 species
UGAAAAGAAAAAAAGUGUGGAGAUUGAGAAAAAUACGAUUGAUGAAGGAAUGGGGGAGGAAGUGAAAAAGCCUAGAUGGAGGAGUUCUAGAGUUGCAAAGGGAAAGGAGGUAGUGAGCACUACUCCAAUCCAAAAUCUUCCUUAUCCUCAUGCCCCGUCCAAAAGGGAGAAUGAACGGCAUUACGCCCGGUUCAUGGAUAU